AUGUAAACCAUUGAGAACUUUGUAAGUGUACCGACAGUUUAUUAAAAGUAGAUUAUAAAGACAGUAGCGUUCACGUUUGAACGGUCGAACGACCAACGGC